AAGAAUGUACUGAAGAUGACUAUUCGUUUCUUACUUCCGUCGAACUGGGGUUACACUAUAAAUCAGCAUUUCGGCUAUGAUGGCGAUUGCAAACGCUUUCAGCUCUCGUGGAUCGGUGUUAGUGUCGGAAUUCAGGCCAGCGGCUGCGAAAGCCGCCCUGAUGACACGAUGAUGUACCGCUGAAUGCCCAUGGUGCCCUGCAUCUGGAGUAUGAUUUCGUUUCUUCUAAAUUAUUGAGAUCUAAAUUACAACUCGAUAUGAAGUUUAAAUAAUAUUGUAAAAUAACUCAGAUACCUUUGCAAACAUAAUCUUAGGAAGGUUAUCUAGACGAUUGUAUAGUCUAGAGAGUCCAGAGCUCAGAGUCAGUUCAAAUAAAAUAUUUAGCUAAAAUGCUCCUCAAUUUCUCAAUUCUUCCCGGACAAGCAUUAUCCAGUUGAAUCGAACCCUAAUCCGAAUCAGCAUCAAUAGAACCCAUAAAAUGGUUUCUCAUGGAGUCUUUUCGUAAAGAAUCGGGAAAAGACACUUAUUUGCAGACAACGAGAACCGGUCAACAGUUAUUUGCGGGCUCUGAUUUUGAUU